rnacentral:misc_RNA from 1 species
UACCAAUCAUACACAUCCCCUUGCAGUAGUGACACAGAGUAUUCAAACUUCAACUCAUCUGGGCAGUGCAGCUUCUUAAACACUCUAUCCAUCCUUUCAAGCCAUUGUUCUGCCUCUAAAGGGUCUACUGUACCCUUGAAUUCCGUAGCCCCAUACUUCAACAACUUAUCAUACUGUCUGGCUGGAGGCUGUGGUUGUAUCACAGGUGUCUGGGGUGGAGCUUGAGCAGGCAUACCCCCAGCCAUUUGUUGAAACAUCGCAGCCAUCUGC